GACGAACGCCGGCGGCGUGCUUAACACAUGCAAGUCGAGCGAUGAAGCACCUUCGGGUGUGAAUUAGCGGCGAACGGGUGAGGAACACGUGAGAAAUCUGCCUUCAACACUGGGAUAACUCCGGGAAACCGGGGCUAAUACCGGAUAUGAAACCUGCGGGCAUCCGCGGGUUUGGAAAGUUUUUCGGUUGAAGAUGAUCUCGCGGCCUAUCAGCUUGUUGGUGAGGUAAUGGCUCACCAAGGCGACGACGGGUAGCCGGCCUGAGAGGGCGACCGGCCACACUGGGACUGAGACACGGCCCAGACUCCUACGGGAGGCAGCAGUGGGGAAUAUUGGGCAAUGGAGGAAACUCUGACCCAGCGACGCCGCCUGCGGGAUGAAGGCCUUCGGGUUGUAAACCGCUUUCAGCAGGGAAGAAGCGAAAGUGACGGUACCUGCAGAAGAAGCACCGGCUAACUAUGUGCCAGCAGCCGCGGUAAUACAUAGGGUGCAAGCGUUGUCCGGAAUUAUUGGGCGUAAAGAGCUCGUAGGUGGUUCGUCACGUCGGAUGUGAAACUCUGGGGCUUAACCCCAGACCUGCAUUCGAUACGGGCGAGCUUGAGUAUGGUAGGGGAGUCUGGAAUUCCUGGUGUAGCGGUGGAAUGCGCAGAUAUCAUGGAGGAACACCAAUGGCGAAGGC
rnacentral:rRNA from 1 species